GAUGAACGCUAGCGGGAGGCUUAAUACAUGCAAGUCGAGCGAGCGGCGCACGGGUGAGUAACGCGUACAAACCUACCCUAACUGGGGGAUAGCCUUGGGAAACUGAGAUUAAUACCCCAUGGGAUGGGUGUGCGUCUGAUUAGCUAGUUGGUAGGGUAACGGCCUACCAAGGCUAUGAUCAGUAGGGGGCGUGAGAGCGUGGUCCCCCACACGGGUACUGAGACACGGACCCGACUCCUACGGGAGGCAGCAGUAAGGAAUAUUGGUCAAUGGAGGAAACUCUGAACCAGCUAUCCCGCGUGAAGGAUGAAGGGCUCUGCCUUGUAAACUUCUUUUGUCUGGGGUGACGGUACCAGAAGAAUAAGCACCGGCUAACUCCGUGUCAGCAGCCGCGGUAAUACGGAGGGUGCAAGCGUUAUCCGGAUUUACUGGGUUUAAAGGAUGCGUAGGUGGGUUUGUAAGUCAGUGGUGAAAUCUCCGAGCUUAACUCGGAAACUGCCAUUGAUACUAUAGAUCUUGAAUUAUCUGGAGGUAAGCGGAAUAUGUCAUGUAGCGGUGAAAUGCUUAGAUAUGACAUAGAACACCAAUUGCGAAGGCAGCUUACUACGGAUAUAUUGACACUGAGGCACGAAAGCGUGGGGAUCAAACAGGAUUAGAUACCCUGGUAGUCCACGCCCUAAACGAUGGAUACUCGACAUCAGUGUCUGAGCGAAAGCAUUAAGUA
rnacentral:rRNA from 1 species